rnacentral:rRNA from 1 species
CACACCGCCCGUCACACCAUGGGAGUUGGAUUGACCCGAAGGUGGUGAGCUAACCCGCAAGGGAGGCAGCCAACCACGAUCGGUUCAGCGACUGGGGUG